rnacentral:rRNA from 1 species
GACGAACCGUCCUAACGUUGUUCGGAAUCACUGGGCUUAAAGGGCGCGUAGGCGGGUGACCAAGUCCGGGGUGAAAUCUUUCGGCUUAACCGGAAAACUGCCUUGGAUACUGGUCAUCUCGAGGGAGGUAGGGGUCUGCGGAACUUCUGGUGGAGCGGUGAAAUGCGUUGAUAUCAGAAGGAACGGCCGGUGGCGAAAGCGGCGGACUGGACCUUCACUGGACGCCUGGACGGCGA